rnacentral:rRNA from 1 species
UAACACGUAGGGAGCAAGCGUUGUCCGGAUUUAUUGGGCGUAAAGAGCUCGUAGGCGGUUCAGUAAGUCGGGUGUGAAAACUUGAGGCUCAACCUCAAGAGGCCACUCGAUACUGCUGUGACUGGAGUCCGGUAGAGGAGUGUGGAAUUCCUGGUGUAGCGGUGAAAUGCGCAGAUAUCAGGAGGAACACCGACAGCGAAGGCAGCACUCUGGGCCGGUACUGACGCUGAGGAGCGAAAGCAUGGGGAGCGAACAGGAUUAGAUACCCUGGUAGUCCAUGCCGUAAACGUUGGGCACUAGGUGUGGGGUCUAGCUAACAGAUUCCGUGCCGUAGCUAACGCAUUAAGUGCCCCGCCUGGGGAGUACGGCCGCAAGGCUA